AGAUGUGAGAAUGAUCUGUCACCCACUGAUCACAGGGUUUAUUUGAAUGAUCUGGCUGGCUAAAUGAGCCACCAUUUUCUCUUUAAUGCACGUCCUUCCCACAUCCAUACGCUCAGUGGAGAAGAGCAUUCUUCUUCCACAGAAAAGGCCAAUUUUUCCAUCAAGUUAUGUGAGUAGCUCACCUCUUGCUUGCUGUUAUUUUGCAGUUAUAUGACACAUAUCACACAAUGGGGAAAGUUUCCAGAACUUUUUUAGUGAUU
rnacentral:snRNA from 1 species